rnacentral:ribozyme from 1 species
UGCCUAGAUAUUUCUAGCCCUGCCUCCACGUGGCACCGGCCGGGCUGCGAGCAACCUUAGGGAAGAUUGGCUAACUAACCCCGGUGGGUACUUUGGUCGUAAGCUGACAGGGAAGG